AGGUCUGCCAAGGGAGGGGGAGAGGGAAAAAAGGAGAUAUCACUACAAGAGAACGAGACAGCCUCUGGGGGAAUGCGGAGGUGAGGAGAUUCAUCAGCUCAGGGAACCAAGGUACUGAGGAAAUGUGAGAAAAGUCACCGGAGUUACCACACAUAGCAACAGCAAAGGGAGCGCUGCUGCUGCUCCUCCAAGCCUUUGUUUCUGGGUAACGUGGAUUCUCUGACAGUGAAAGGUUUGGGAUUAUAAUUUGUCAUCUGCUCAUUGUAAAUUACUAGAGUAAUUGUUAAUUAGAAAUAAUCUUGGUGUACAGCCCUGAUCUCAAAUACAAUGGCCUGAAGAAAAGACAAAACAUGCCAGAGGAUCAGGCUCUGCGCUCCUCCCUGUCAGCAAACAGAGCUGAGCUCUCUGGGACUGCCUGAGCACCUCUGUGCUGUCAUGCUGGAAUUCCUGCCUAUCCCACACAGCUCCUCUCCCAUCCUUCAGGGCACACCACUUGCCUGCUGAGAAGGCAGGAAAUAAUAGCAUGGCUGAAGUUACCUUGAAAUCCUAAACUAUUCCAACCAGCAAUACUCUGAUUAAGAUGCUGAAAUAAUUUAUUUUCUGCUUUCAUCAAGUGAUUUAAUAGCAUUCCAUGUAUAUUGAGUGUAUCGUAACUCUAAAGUGGGAACAGUAAUACCCUCUAGGAAAUCUCCAAGAUAAUACAUUCAAAGGGAAAACUCAGGAAUUUAAGGAGGGAAGGAAAAACAGAAGUAAUUGGAAGCUGUUUUGGGGAAAAGAAAAUUUGAAUGAGAUCAUUAAGAAAAUGCAGUUUAUUCCUCUGGGACAGAUGCAUGAGAGGAUAAAUUUUGACAGCAAAACCAGCUACCACUAUUUGCACCAAACCAUCUUCCUGUUAAGUUAUACUGCUCUCAAGAAUUCAGCCUUAACCUCAGCACACUGAAUCCAAGCAGAGCACCAAAGUGUCUCAAGCUCCAGAGAAGAAACCCCAAGCAGGCUGCAAAGCAGCACCUACAACCUGGAGACUGAGAAACAGAAGGUCACAACUACCAUUAUCCCACAGGACUAAACCCCUCCUACCACAGUCAGAAAACCAGCAAUGGCAAAACAAACCUCAUGUGUGCCAAACAUACAAUACUGAUCUCUCAUUGCUAGUGUGCCUAAUCAGACUCAAAUCUCUCAAAUCCGCUUGGCUUUUCUCAACAGGGAAUUCCAUGCAAGCAGGAUUAGGUUAAUUGAUGUGAUACAUCCUACAAAAAGGUGUGAGGAUUUUCUGUGGCUGACUGCAGCACCCCAGCUCUGCUGGAGAGGGAAGUCUCUGAGAGUCCACCUGCUGGAUCCCUGCAAACCUUGGCGCCUGUUCCCACUGGGUGUUGACAUCUCACAUCAACACACUGAGCUGAGAGCAAUUUCCUUCAACACCUGACACAGAGCUGCCUGGGAGAUGCAAGGGGUGUGCACACAAGGAAGAAGUGAAAGCUGGUUCUUUGGCAGAUUCACGGGAUGAUUUCAUUUCAUUACCUGGAUAAGAUGGUAAAUCAUGAAGGUUGCAAUCCCAGCUCUUCUCCACUCAGGGUGCACCAACAGAAAAGAGAUGUAAGCUUCGUUGUAUUUCACAUCUGGCACCAUAAA